AAUUUAUUUGUAUUAAUUUGGUUUAGAUUAUACAAUCAUUUGUGAUGAGGAACUUGUAUUAUAUAAUGUGAAACUGCACAAGAGGAAAGGUCAUGACUAGUAUGUGGGUCAUUGAACCUUAUCGCUAUAAAGAAAAACUACUCACAGAAUUCACGUAUCUUGUACAGGUUGAUAUGGGAGGAGUACCAGCAACACUGUUUAAUAUUGUGUCAAGACGUCAGCCAUUAGCAGUUGCAUAUUUACGUGAUUAUUUAGAAACAACUAGUUUAAAUUCAAAUAGAAAUGGAAGAUCUAGAGAGUAGACCCAGUUUAUUAUCAGGUACUGAUUCACCUAGUGAUCUAACUAUGA